GUUCAAUUCGCUUAUCAGAGGCCU
rnacentral:siRNA from 1 species